AGCGAGAUGGCGCAGCGGAAGCGUGAUGGGCUCAUAACCCAUAGGUCCGAGGAUCGAAACCUCGUCUCGCUA
rnacentral:tRNA from 1 species